UACAGAGGUCUCAAGCGUUGUUCGGAUUCAUUGGGCGUAAAGGGUGCGUAGGCGGCGAGGUAAGUCAGAUGUGAAAUCCCGGGGCUUAACCCCGGAACUGCAUUUGAUACUGCUUUGCUUGAGGACUGGAGAGGAGAUCGGAAUUCACGGUGUAGCAGUGAAAUGCGUAGAUAUCGUGAGGAAGGCCAGUGGCGAAGGCGGAUCUCUGGACAGUUCCUGACGCUGAGGCACGAAGGUCAGGGGAGCAAACAGG
rnacentral:rRNA from 1 species